rnacentral:rRNA from 1 species
GACGAACGCUGGCGGCGUGCUUAACGCAUGCAAGUCGAACGGAAAGGCCCUGCUUUUGUGGGGUGCUCGAGUGGCGAACGGGUGAGUAACACGUGAGUAACCUGCCCUUGACUUUGGGAUAACUUCAGGAAACUGGGGCUAAUACCGGAUAGGAGCUCCUGCUGCAUGUUGGGGGUUGGAAAGUUUCGGCGGUUGGGGAUGGACUCGCGGCUUAUCAGCUUGUUGGUGGGGUAGUGGCUUACCAAGGCUUUGACGGGUAGCCGGCCUGAGAGGGUGACCGGCCACAUUGGGACUGAGAUACGGCCCAGACGCCUACGGGAGGCAGCAGUGGGGAAUAUUGCACAAUGGGCGGAAGCCUGAUGCAGCAACGCCGCGUGCGGGAUGACGGCCUUCGGGUUGUAAACCGCUUUCGCCUGUGACGAAGCGUGAGUGACGGUAAUGGGUAAAGAAGCACCGGCUAACUACGUG